rnacentral:rRNA from 1 species
AUUGAACGCUGGCGGCAUGCUUUACACAUGCAAGUCGAACGGUAACAGGUCUUCGGAUGCUGACGAGUGGCGAACGGGUGAGUAAUGCAUCGGAACGUGCCCAGUCGUGGGGGAUAACGCAGCGAAAGCUGCGCUAAUACCGCAUACGAUCUAUGGAUGAAAGCGGGGGACCGUAAGGCCUCGCGCGAUUGGAGCGGCCGAUGUCAGAUUAGGUAGUUGGUGGGGUAAAGGCUCACCAAGCCAACGAUCUGUAGCUGGUCUGAGAGGACGACCAGCCACACUGGGACUGAGACACGGCCCAGACUCCUACGGGAGGCAGCAGUGGGGAAUUUUGGACAAUGGGCGCAAGCCUGAUCCAGCAAUGCCGCGUGCA